GCCCGGCUGGUCUAGCGGUAUGAUACCUGCUUCGGGUGACUCCCUCCUCUUCACAGAGGAUUCUUGCAGGUGGUCCCCGGUUCGAUCCCGGGGUCGGGCC